rnacentral:rRNA from 1 species
UACAGAGGUCCCGAGCGUUGUUCGGAUUCACUGGGCGUAAAGGGUGCGCAGGCGGCCGAGUGUGUGAGGCGUGAAAGCCCGGGGCUUAACCCCGGAAUUGCACCUCAAACUACACGGCUAGAGCAUUGGAGAGGGUAGCAGAAUUCAUGGUGUAGCAGUGAAAUGCGUAGAUAUCAUGAGGAAUACCAGAGGCGAAGGCGGCUACCUGGACAAUUGCUGACGCUCAGGCACGAAAGCGUGGGAGCAAAAGGG